rnacentral:tmRNA from 2 species
GGGGUCGUAUUGGAUUUGACAGCAAAUGAGAUUGUCAGGUGUAAGCAUGUAGAGCGUUGAGGUGGAGCUCUUUAAUAUCCUGUCUCGAACAAUAAAUGACAACGAGUCAUACGCACUUGCGGCUUAAUCGAAGGAUUCGAUAAAAGCUUAAUCCCAGCCGAAGUAUAGUAAGCGGGACAAGUACCACUCCGGUGUUUUCGUCCGUUGGACCCGGAUUUAGUGGUAUCAUCUAAAUGGACUGGCGCUGACCUUGCUUCGUGGAAGGCGUGAGAUUCUAAGAGGCUAAGUUUUGUAUUGGGUGUUCAUUCCCGUUGCAAAAUCGAAAAUUAAUAAUGAACUAAACAUGUAGAAGACUUGGGAAUACUUUGUUUGGACGAGGGUUCGAAACCCUCCGACUCCACUU